UCCUCUUGGAAAUAAAUGAAACGUCAAAACAUCCUAUCAAGACAAGACAUUAGACGAUCAUAGUACGUCGUAUGCAUUUUCUAAUCCGUAUUUUUGCCGGAUAGAGGAUCGCCGAUUCACUGUCGUCAUUUUCAGGCGCAUGAGAAAUUACCUAUCGCUCUGCUUUCUGUAUUCGCGUUUCGAACUUUUAAUUAUCCGUUCCUCUGUAUGGAGAUAGGCGCGCGAACAGAGAUGAAAAGCCUGUCCGAGAUAAUCAUUGCUUAGAUUAGUUCGAGCCAGCGUACCUCGCAUGCUGCAGGUACUCACACACAAACACAAACACAAAUAAGCGUGCGCACACAUACACACAUACAUAUAUAUUUGAUACGAGCACUAGCACGUAAGAUAUUGUUCUCCCAAUGAAAUUAAUAGUGGGAGUAAGCUCCGGCACAUAACAUUAAUCCUCGCGGUAUUAGUGACACGUUGAAGAGCUGAGCCCAGAUCCUACGGAGGGAGACAACGGAAGAGUGGAUGGAGAAUCGAGAAGCGAACGAAGGAGAGACAGAAAGAGAAAGAGAAAGAGAAACAGAAACAGAGAGAGAGAGAGAGAGAGAGAGAGAGAGAGAGAGAGAACUGAUGAAAGAAAAAGAUAAAAGAUCUCUUAAGACAUUGAAACGAGAGGUAGCGAAUCAUUUCGAAAAGCUGGUAAGAUAGAUUCUUGAGAAAGCGUACGUUUGUCUGAUUAGAUGGUUCCAUCAAUGACGUUCUAAGACAAGUGUUCAAUGUUAAAAAUCAUUAUCAAAGGUGAUGGUCAUUGAUAACGAUGAUGACAACAAUGGCAAUGACAAAAGUUCGUGAUAUUAAAAUCAAAUAUUUUCAUUUUUUACUCGAUUUCGAUUUUUAUCGAUUUCGAUUUCGAUCAAACUUUGCUGAUCGAUCAGAGAAAUAUUGGAGAUAAGUAAUUGAAGUAUUUAAGAUUAUUUAAAUAGAUCAAAUCGACAAUGCACGACAAGAUGUUUUUCAAUCUCGCGAAAAGGACGUGAAGGUUCGGUGAAUUCACUCCAGAAGCGAAGUAAAAGGGUCUUCGAAGUACGAGUAAGAGAGAGAGAGAGAGAGAGAGAAAGAGAGAGAGAAAGAGAGAGAGAGAGAGAGAGAGAACGAGUGGGACGAAUCUUCCCUUCGUGGACAUUUCGAAGAGUCUCCUUGAGGAACCACCCACUCUCCACUCCUCUCCUCUUUUCGUCAUCCUACUCCUACUUCUUCAUCCCCUUCCGUUUCAGCUACUAUACGGAGUGUAAUAUCCUGCUAUCCAAGAACCUUAUGACGAUUUAAACCUUGCCGAGCAAGUGUUUCAUAUUUCCUAUUAUUCUCUAUUUCUAUAUUUCUAUUUUAAACUAUUCGAAAUAUAUUCUGUUCGAUAUAUGUUCUCAAUCCUUCAAUGUCUUUCAUAUUUUUGUUAAAUUUUCCUUUCCUCCCCCCUCUCCCCAAUGACAAUUCUUCAUACUUGUUUAGUUAAAGAAAUAUUGAAACUUUGAUACCAGCAUCAUGAGAAGGCUUAUGAAUGAAAUCGUUAAACUACUGGCUAGUAGUACCAGGAGAACGUGAGUGAGAGAAAGAAAGAGAGGGAAAGAGCGAGAGAGAGAGAGAGAGAGAGAGAGAGAGAGAAAGAGAGAGGAAGAGAGAUAGAGAGAGGACUAUAGCAGAUGGGGACAGAGUUGGAGAGGGGCGAUCAAUAAUAUAAUACCUCGUCGCCCCGGGUACCACCAUGCUAUCGCACCAUCAAACAUCAUGCCUCCAUAUAUCCAAUCCUGCCUGCCUACCGACCUUUUCAUCCACACCUAUCCCUAUUGAAUAUCUUUUUCUGAAUACAUACCGAGGCGCUAAGUACGUGUGAACGUGUUAGCCGGUAGUGCGUUGAUCAAUGCCCUCAUGAACUCGAAUCGAUCGGCUAGAUCGCGAAAUGAGAUCUAUCUGUUGAAAGGAUAAGUGUCGUAAGUUAAGCAAAGUCUAAACUGAUUCGUUAGAUCGUUUAAAUUAUUGUAUUAUCAUUAUUAUUAUUAUUAUUAUUCCAUGUAUUAAUGAUGAACAUUUUCUAUCGAUGAUUAGAUAUAUUCAUAGUGAAAUGAAAUUUAUUUUAAUAUUUCUAUAGUAUAAAUCAAUUUGAUCAAUGGCCCUAGAAUAAUUUUAAUUAGAACUAAUGAUUACGAUAUAACAAUAUAAGAAACAAUUAUAGAUUUAUGAUAAGAUAUGCUGUAAUAUGUUGUAAUAUAAUUGAUUAUGUUUAAAAAUGCAGAAAACUACUUUUAUCAUUUUAAUACUUUUAUAAUUAUGCUGCCAUCUCUGAGAGAAAUUUCAUUAGUCACUGUAGAUAAAGUAGAAAUUAUUGAAUUAUCGACGUACAGAUUUCUACUAUACCGUCAGAUCAUGAUAGUUGCUUGACUAGAGAGUUCAAGAUAAUUCCGGUAGUACUAA